rnacentral:ncRNA from 2 species
UUGAUCUACUAGGGGGGCCCAUGCUUGGGCUGAGAGAGAGGCAGAAAGCCGCUUGACCCUUUGGACCUGAUCUGGCUAAUACCAGCGUAGGAAAGUAGGAGCGCAUUCUU